AACUCAGAACAACACUAUAGACCUAACUCAGAANNNNNNNNNNNNNNNNNNNNAGUAGCUGCCACCAUAGCCUUUCCAGACCACUGUUUUCUGCUUCAUCGCUUCUCUGCCUUCUUCUGUCUCUGUUUUCUCUUCCCUUACUCUUGCACAGCUUAAGACAGAGCUUCUGGGCUCAAAGUUUAACUCCAUUCUAGAGGAGAGCAAGGGAGAAGAUGGGGAUUAUCAACCUGUGGGCUCUUUGGCAGACCUGGAGAGGCAAGAGCUGAACUACCCUGCCCUGGAGUUUCAGGGGACUGCUCCAGGGAUGGGGGGUCCUCAGGGAGGGGGGAUGACAGCAGGGAAGAAUCGCGAUUCAUUUGGAAUUGAUCUCGGUAGUUGCUGCCGUCAUCCAUAUUUAUUUAAACUGCAUUGUUGGUUAGGGGCUCUCAACCCCCCGGCCUCCAGGGGGAGCCCCAGUCACAUCUCGCCACCAAGGACUGCUGGUAGCUACUUUCAGGGUCGGAACACAGGCCAUUGGACAAUGUAAAAAGCUCUUAUCAGCAGCUGUCGGUCUCCCAGCUCUUACUCUACUGUUCAUAGUCAAACAAUUCCCUCACAACAGGUGCAAUGGGUUUGUUACUGUACUGUAUCAUCUAGAUUCAAUGUUGCUAUUUCCAUCUCUACACCAUUAAUUGUUGGCACUGCUAUCAUGCUUGGGACACAGUAACACAUUUGCUGGGGCUCCCCUUCUGCAUGUCACCCUAUAUCAUACUCAUAGCUAGCCUGGUUAAACCAGAUUGAAUGCUGCGCUCACCACUAUUUUCCUGUGUUACGCAGCGCAUUCAGUUUGGAUACCAGGCUAACUUGUACCUGUUCUAGAUCUGUUCGUUAUAGUUCUUCUCCACUGUGUCCGCUGCCAGUCGAAGUGUCAGGGUAAGGGGUGUGUUUUGUACUUUUAAAUACCUCUAUUUC
rnacentral:lncRNA from 8 species